UACAGGAUUAGAUACCCUGGUAGUCCACGCCCUAAACGAUGUCAACUGGUUGUUGGGGGAGUGAAAUCCCUUAGUAACGAAGCUAACGCGUGAAGUUGACCGCCUGGGGAGUACGGUCGCAAGAUUAAAACUCAAAGGAAUUGACGGGGACCCGCACAAGCGGUGGAUGAUGUGGAUUAAUUCGAUGCAACGCGAAAAACCUUACCUACCCUUGACAUGUCCAGAAUCCUGCAGAGAUGCGGGAGUGCCCGAAAGGGAAUUGGAACACAGGUGCUGCAUGGCUGUCGUCAGCUCGUGUCGUGAGAUGUUGGGUUAAGUCCCGCAACGAGCGCAACCCUUAUCAUUAGUUGCUACGCAAGGGCACUCUAAUGAGACUGCCGGUGACAAACCGGAGGAAGGUGGGGAUGACGUCAAGUCCUCAUGGCCCUUAUGGGUAGGGCUUCACACGUCAUACAAUGGUCGGUACAGAGGGUUGCCAAGCCGCGAGGUGGAGCCAAUCCCAGAAAGCCGAUCGUAGUCCGGAUUGUUCUCUGCAACUCGAGAGCAUGAAGUCGGAAUCGCUAGUAAUCGCGGAUCAGCAUGUCGCGGUGAAUACGUUCCCGGGUCUUGUACACACCGCCCGUCACACCAUGGGAGUGGAAUCUGCCAGAAGUAGGUAGCCUAACCGCAAGGAGGGCGCUUACCACGGUGGGUUUCAUGACUGGGGUGAAGUCGUAACAAGGUAACC
rnacentral:rRNA from 1 species